GUCGUGAGAUGUUGGGUUAAGUCCCGCAACGAGCGCAACCCUUGUCAUUAGUUGCUACAUUCAGUUGGGCACUCUAAUGAGACUGCCGGUGACAAACCGGAGGAAGGUGGGGAUGACGUCAAGUCCUCAUGGCCCUUAUGGGUAGGGCUUCACACGUAAUACAAUGGCGCGUACAGAGGGUUGCUAAGCCGCGAGGUAGAGCCAAUCCCUUAAAGCGCGUCGUAGUCCGGAUUGCAGUCUGCAACUCGACUGCAUGAAGUCGGAAUCGCUAGUAAUCGCGGAUCAGCAUGUCGCGGUGAAUACGUUCCCGGGUCUUGUACACACCGCCCGUCACACCAUGGGAGUGGGUUUCACCAGAAGCCGGUCGCCUAACCGCAAGGGGGGCGCCGACCACGGUGAGAUUCAUGACUGGGGUGAAGUCGUAACAAGGUAGCCGUAUCGGAAGGUGCGGCUGGAUCACCUCCUUUCUAAGACAAGUACCUCUCAGUGCCCACCCUCUAUCGGCUGUUAUUUGAAGUUGCAGCCGUUUCAUGUUGACCACACUAAGGGGUCUGUAGCUCAGUUGGUUAGAGCACCGUCUUGAUAAGGCGGGGGUCGAUGGUUCGAAUCCAUCCAGACCCACCAGACACCUGAAUCACCGGGGCCAUAGCUCAGCUGGGAGAGCGCCUGCUUUGCAAGCAGGAGGUCACCGGUUCGAUCCCGGUUGGCUCCACCAGCGUCUUAGCGAGGAAUCAGCAAUCAGCAUCGUGAAUCGAUGUUGAUUGGUGCUUCUUCGAUAGAAACACCGAUCGGCUGCUCUUUAACAAUUCGGGAUGGAAGGUAAAGUGAUUUACGAGAUUUGAGGCGCGAGGUUUGCGUGCUCGAGUCGCGUGGAUCAUGGGUUAUGUAUUGCAUCGUGUGUCUUCACCGGUCGAGUGGUGGAGGCGCGCAAGCAUGAAGCGUGAGAAUUUCUUAUUUCUUUGUGAUGCUCUGGGGGACUUUGCCCUGGGGUGCUUCUUCUCUAAAGGAGGAGGCAGCAAGGUUAUAGGGUCAAGCGAAUAAGUGCAUGUGGUGGAUGCCUUGGCAAUGAUAGGCGACGAAGGACGUGACAGCCUGCGAUAAGCUGCGGGGAGCCGGCAAAUGGGCGCUGAUCCGCAGAUUU
rnacentral:sRNA from 1 species